rnacentral:rRNA from 1 species
UACGUAGGGUGCGAGCGUUAAUCGGAAUUACUGGGCGUAAAGCGUGCGCAGGCGGUUCGUUGUGUCGGCGGUGAAAGCCCCGGGCUUAACCUGGGAACUGCGUUUGAAACUACAAGGCUAGAGUGUGGCAGAGGGGGGUGGAAUUCCACGUGUAGCAGUGAAAUGCGUAGAGAUGUGGAGGAACACCGAUGGCGAAGGCAGCCCCCUGGGUUAACACUGACGCUCAGGCACGAAAGCGUGGGGAGCAAACAGG